UGGCGCCCUUGGCCGCGGGGGCAAUGUUUUUGUUUUCGUUCUACGUUCAGGUGUUGAGUAGCGACGUAUUAACCGUCGAUAACCAGCUGAAGCAGCUCAAGUUCUCGAGUGGAACGAGGUUGACCGUGCGCAGUGGCAGCCGUUGACAACAAAAACAAUGUAUGCACUCAGUUUCGCCGGAUGAGUGCCGGCGUCGAUCGCGAACCGCCAGAGCCGCCAAAUACCUCUCGUACAUCUCCAAGAACACCAAGAACAGGAGGUAUUCAUAAAGGUCUGAACCACGCGAGGAUCGUCUCGAAGCAUGGUAGCCUCAACAGACGCUUGCCGCCACACGCGAGGAGAAAGCAGGAGGCCCGAAGUUUGAAUGUGAAGAGGAGGUGCGAAGAGCUGGCCCUCACUUUUUCAAGGCAGCCGCAGAACACUACGAGCCCCGAAUCACUGCCGCGGCUGACUCAGCGGAUGCUGUGCUGCACCCUGCACUGCACAUGGUUCGAAGCACACUUCAGGGGACCAGUGCAUGCCCCUGAUGCAUCGUCGCGGUAUGUUUUGUACUGCUUUUCCUAGCGGUGCACUGAGCAGUCCAAUCUUGAAGGGAGCACGCGAGUGCGUAGCCAGUGCUCCAUGCAGCGAGGACCGCAAGCACCCGCGGAAGCUUGGAGCACACGCAGUGACGCCAGCAGCCGUGCACGCUGGCGUCGUCUGCUACUGUACCGUCCUUUCGUUCGGUGCGCAGAAAAAAAAAGGAGUGACCGCUCUGUUAAAAGUCUGAUGGUGAAGGCAUCCUUUACAGAAGCACUGUAUGGCUCUCUGCACGCUAGAAUGGGGGCUGUCGUUGAUGCUCGCAGAGGCGUCGCCCACAACUAAGCAGACGACCAAAGUCCUGAGCAGGUCCCAGGGAUCAUGGCAUCGAUGAGCUCGCUUUCGCCUUGUCCAAGGUAGCAGCGGAACACUACGGGCAGGCCCGGAGUCACCGCACCGGCUGGCUCACGGGCGUCGUCCUGUACUCUGCACGGCACUGCGUGUGGCUUAACCGGCCAAGCAGAGGGUCACUGCAUGACCUUUAUGAGGCGUCGCUAGCCAUUGUUUCAAAUCGUCCUGAUUCAUGGGCCAAGCCUUUCAAGACUGCACUCUUAGGCCCAGUCCUUUUUGGUGGAUCGGAUCUUGCCAUCUUCCCCUCUCGUGGCUUCCUGUUGUACUUAAAUAAAUUGUCUUAUUUUUUUCUUA